GACCCGUGGCAGACAGCUCAGUAACACGUGGCCAAACUACCCUAUGGACGCGGACACCCUCGGGAAACUGAGGCUAAUCCACGAUACGGCUCCCACGCUGGAAUGCGGGGAGCCGGAAAGGCUCCGGCGCCAUAGGAUGUGGCUGCGGCCGAUUAGGUAGACGGUGGGGUAACGGCCCACCGUGCCCAUAAUCGGUACGGGAUGUGAGAGCAAAUAGCCCGGAGAUGGAUUCUGAGACAAGAAUCCAGGCCCUACGGGGCGCAGCAGGCGCGAAACCUUUACACUGCACGCCAGUGCGAUAAGGGGACCCCGAGUGCGAGGGCAUACAGUCCUCGCUUUUGUACACCGUAAGGAGGUGUACGAAUAAGGGCUGGGCAAGACCGGUGCCAGCCGCCGCGGUAAUACCGGCAGCCCGAGUGAUGGCCGCUGUUAUUGGGCCUAAAGCGUCCGUAGCCGGCCGAACAAGUCUGUCGGGAAAUCCAUCUGCCUAACAGAUGGGCGUCCGGCAGAAACUGUUCGGCUUGGGGCCGGAAGAUCCGAGGGGUACGUCCGGGGUAGGAGUGAAAUCCCGUAAUCCUGGACGGACCGCCGGUGGCGAAAGCGCCUCGGAAGGACGGACCCGACGGUGAGGGACGAAAGCUGGGGUCUCGAACCGGAUUAGAUACCCGGGUAGUCCCAGCCGUAAAC
rnacentral:rRNA from 1 species